UACAGAGGGUGCGAGCGUUGUCCGGAAUCACUGGGCGUAAAGGGCGCGUAGGCGGUCUGGUAAGCGUGUGGUGAAAGCUUCGGGCUCAACCCGGAGUCGGCCGUGCGAACUGCGAGACUGGAGCAUGUCAGAGGCAGGCGGAAUUCCGGGUGUAGCGGUGGAAUGCGUAGAUAUGCGGAGGAACACCGAUGGCGAAGGCAAUCCCCUGGGCCUGCACCGACGCUCAUGCACGAAAGCGUGGGGAGCAAACAGG
rnacentral:rRNA from 1 species